rnacentral:rRNA from 1 species
AGGUCAAGCGAAGAAGAGCGCAGGGUGGAUGCCUUGGCACUAAGAGCCGAUGAAAGACGUGAUAAGCUGCGAAAAGUCACGGGGAGGAGCAAAUAUCCAUUGAUCCGUGAAUAUCUGAAUGGGGAAACCCACAUGAGAAUACCUCAUGUAUCCAUACGCCAAUCCAUAACGUAUGGAAGGGAACCCGGUGAACUGAAACAUCUAAGUAGCCGGAGGAAGAGAAAGAAAAAUCGAUUUCCAAAGUAGCGGCGAGCGAAAUGGAAAGAGCCCAAACCGGAGUGCGUGCAUUCCGGGGUUCGGACCGCAUAAUUGAUUCAGCAAUUCCAGCAGAACUGUUUUGGGAAAGCAGACCAGAGAGGGUGAAAGUCCCGUAAGCGAAAGAAGAGCUGACAUGGCGGUAUCCAGAGUACAUCGAGACACGAGAAACCUUGAUGGAAUAAGCGGGGACCACCCCGUAAGGCUAAAUACUACUUAGUGACCGAUAGCGCAUAGUACUGUGAAGGAAAGGUGAAAAGGACCCCGGGAGGGGAGUGAAAGAGAACCUGAAACCCUGUGUUUACAAGCUGUGGAAGCACUUUAUAUGUGCGACCGCGUACUUUUUGUAGAACGGUCCGGCGAGUUACGCUUACUGGCGAGGUUAAGGACUUAAGGUCCGGAGCCGAAGGGAAACCAAGUCUUAACAGGGCGAGUUUAGUCAGUAGGAGUAGACCCGAAACCGGGUGAUCUAUCCAUGUCCAGGUUGAAGAUGCCGUAAAAGGCGUUGGAGGACCGAACCCACAUCCGUUGAAAAGGGUGGGGAUGAGGUGUGGAUAGGGGAGAAAUUCCAAUCGAACCCGGAGAUAGCUGGUUCUCCUCGAAAUAGCUUUAGGGCUAGCCUCGUUUUAGUCUUGUGGAGGUAGAGCACUGAAUUUCCGCGGGGGCGUCAAAGCUUACCAAAGAAUAUCAAACUCCGAAUGCCAUUAAGAUGAUGAACGGGAGUCAGACUGUACGAGAUAAGUUGGACAGUCAAAAGGGAAAGAGCCCAGACCACCAGCUAAGGUCCCAAAGUGUGUGUUAAGUGGAAAAGGAUGUGGGGAUUCAAAGACAACUAGGAUGUUGGCUCAGAAGCAGCCAUUCAUUCAAAGAGUGCGUAACAGCUCACUAGUCGAGAGUCCCUGCGCCGAAAAUGUCCGGGGCUGAAACACAACACCGAAGCUGUGGAAUCAUACCUAGUAUGAUUGGUAGAGGAGCAUUCUUAAGACCGACGAAGCUGUACCGAUAAGGAGCAGUGGAGGGAUAAGAAGAGAGAAUGCCGGAAUGAGUAGCGAGAGGAAGGUGAGAAUCCUUCCGGCCGAAUAUCCAAGGAUUCCAGGGUAAAGCUGAUCUGCCCUGGGUAAGUCGGGACCUAAGGAGAGGCCGAGAGGCGUAUCCGAUGGACAACAGGUUUAGAUUCCUGUACCACAUAUGGUCAGAACUGUGGGGACGCAGAAGGAAAGCAUGAGCCAGGAAUGGAAAGACUGGUACAAGCAGAGGGGAUGGUGUGCUGGCAAAUCCGCACACGAAAGUCCUUGCUGUGAUGUGGAGCGAACCAAAGUAGCGAAGCAUGCGGACCGGCUGCCGAGAAAAGCCGCUAUUGUGCCAUAUGUGCCCGUACCGUAAACCGACACAGGUGGAUGAGGAGAGAAUCCUAAGGCCGACGGAAGAAGUAUUGUUAAGGAACUCGGCAAAAUGACCCCGUAACUUCGGGAGAAGGGGUGCCUGAGAAAUCAGGCCGCAGAGAAUAGGCUCAAGCAACUGUUUAGCAAAAACACAGGUCUAUGCAAAACCGAAAGGUGAAGUAUAUGGGCUGACGCCUGCCCGGUGCUGGAAGGUUAAGAGGAGAGGUUAGCGCAAGCGAAGCUUUGAAUUUAAGCCCCAGUAAACGGCGGCCGUAACUAUAACGGUCCUAAGGUAGCGAAAUUCCUUGUCGGGUAAGUUCCGACCCGCACGAAAGGCGUAAUGAUUUGAGCACUGUCUCGACAAUACAUCCGGUGAAAUUGAAGUACCAGUGAAGAUGCUGGUUACCCGCGCCAGGACGGAAAGACCCCAUGGAGCUUUACUCCAGUUUGGUACUGGGAUUCGGUACUGCAUGUACAGGAUAGGUGGGAGACGAAGAAGUUAGGACGCCAGUCUUAACAGAGUCGCUGUUGGGAUACCACCCUUGCAGUAUUGGGUUUCUAACCAGCCGCUGUGAACCAGCGGUGGGACAAUGCCAGGCGGGGAGUUUGACUGGGGCGGUCGCCUCCGAAAGGGUAUCGGAGGCGCUCAAAGGUUCCCUCAGAAUGGUCGGAAACCAUUUAAAGAGUGCAAAGGCAGAAGGGAGCUUGACUGCGACACCGACGGGUGGAGCAGGUACGAAAGUAGGACUUAGUGAUCCGGUGGCAUAAAGUGGGAUUGCCAUCGCUCAACGGAUAAAAGCUACCCUGGGGAUAACAGGCUUAUCACUCCCAAGAGUUCACAUCGACGGAGUGGUUUGGCACCUCGAUGUCGGCUCAUCGCAUCCUGGGGCUGUAGCAGGUCCCAAGGGUUGGGCUGUUCGCCCAUUAAAGCGGUACGCGAGCUGGGUUCAGAACGUCGUGAGACAGUUCGGUCCCUAUCCGGCGCGGGCGUAGGAUAUCUGAGGGGAGCUGGCCUUAGUACGAGAGGACCGGGCUGGACGGACCACUGGUGCAUCAGCUGGAUACCAAAUCCAUAGCUGGGUAGCCAAGUCCGGAAGGGAUAAACGCUGAAGGCAUCUAAGCGUGAAGCCCCCCCCAAGAUGAGAUGUCCCUGUCUAUAAGACAGUAAGACCCCUGAAAGAGUAUCAGGUAGAUAGGGCAGAGGUGGAAGCACGGUAACGUGUGGAGCUGACUGUUACUAAUCGGUCGAGGGCUUGACCAAA